rnacentral:rRNA from 1 species
UACGUAGGGUGCGAGCGUUGUCCGGAAUUAUUGGGCGUAAAGGGCUCGUAGGCGGUCUGUUGCGUCGGGAGUGAAAACUCAGGGCUUAACCCUGAGCCUGCUUCCGAUACGGGCAGACUAGAGGUAUGCAGGGGAGAACGGAAUUCCUGGUGUAGCGGUGAAAUGCGCAGAUAUCAGGAGGAACACCGGUGGCGAAGGCGGCACUCUGGGACGUGACUGACGCUGAGACGCGAAAGCGUGGGGAGCAAACAGG